AGUGAACGCUGGCGGUAGGCCUAACACAUGCAAGUCGAACGGCAGCACAGUAAGAGCUUGCUCUUACGGGUGGCGAGUGGCGGACGGGUGAGGAAUACAUCGGAAUCUUCUUUUUCGUGGGGGAUCACGUAGGGAAACUUACGCUAAUACCGCAUACGACAUACGGGUGAAAGCAGGGGAUCUUCGCACCUUGCGCGAUUGAAUGAGCCGAUGUCGGAUUAGCUAGUUGGCGGGGUAAAGGCCCACCAAGGCGACGAUCCGUAGCUGGUCUGAGAGGAUGGUCGGCCACACUGGAACUGAGACACGGUCCAGACUCCUACGGGAGGCAGCAGUGGGGAAUAUUGGACAAUGGGCGCAAGCCUGAUCCAGCCAUACCGCGUGAGUGAAGAAGGCCUUCGGGUUGUAAAGCCCUUUUGUUGGGAAAGAAAAGCAGCAGGUUAAUACCCCGCUGUUCUGACGGUACCCAAAGAAUAAGCACCGGCUAACUACGUG
rnacentral:rRNA from 1 species